UACGAAGGGGGCUAGCGUUGCUCGGAAUUACUGGGCGUAAAGGGCGCGUAGGCGGAUAGUUUAGUCAGAGGUGAAAGCCCAGGGCUCAACCUUGGAAUUGCCUUUGAUACUGGCUAUCUUGAGUUCGGGAGAGGUGAGUGGAAUGCCGAGUGUAGAGGUGAAAUUCGUAGAUAUUCGCAAGAACACCAGUGGCGAAGGCGGCUUACUGGUCCGGUUCUGACGCUGAGGCGCGAAAGCGUGGGGAGCAAACAGG
rnacentral:rRNA from 1 species